AUGCUGGUAUCCUCUGGAAGAGAUUUGAUUUUGGGAGCUAGAAGCAAUGAUAAAAAAAGAAAGGAAUUAAUUAAUACCAUGUCACUUCUCUACUUGUCAUUUAAAGCAGAAGAACAACAAACUCAAGACUAUACUAAUUCUAGAUACAGUACACUGUCAUGUACUGUCAUGUUGUGUCUUGUUUCUGUCCUUUCCCUUCACCCUGUCUCCCUCUGCUGGUCGUUGUUAGGUUACUCUUGUUUGUGUUGUUCAUGCCUGAACCAGACUAUCGUCAUGUUUGCUGCAACCUUGUCCUGUCCUGUCGGAACCUGCCGGUCCAUCUGAGCCUACGUUUUGUUUUGUUAUUAAAGAAGCUCUGUUUACGUUAAUUCGCUUUUGGGUCCUCAUUCACGCACCGUA
rnacentral:lncRNA from 13 species